rnacentral:rRNA from 1 species
AUUGAACGCUGGCGGCAUGCCUUACACAUGCAAGUCGAACGGUAACAGGUUAAGCUGACGAGUGGCGAACGGGUGAGUAAUGUAUCGGAACGUGCCCAGUCGUGGGGGAUAACUGCGCGAAAGAGCAGCUAAUACCGCAUACGACCUGAGGGUGAAAGCGGGGGAUCGCAAGACCUCGCGCGAUUGGAGCGGCCGAUAUCGGAUUAGGUAGUUGGUGGGGUAAAGGCCUACCAAUGCUACGAUCUGUAGGUGGUCUGAGAGGAGGACCAGCCACCAUGGGACUGAGGCCCGGCCCAGACUUCUACGGGUGGCAGCAGUGGGGAAUUUUGGGAAAUUGUCGUAAGGCUGAUCCAGCCAUGCCGCGUGCGGGAAGAAGGCCUUCGGGUUGUAAACCGCUUUUGUCAGGGAAGAAAAGGUUCUGGUUAAUACCUGGGACUCAUGACGGUACCUGAAGAAUAAGCGCCGGCUAACUACGUGCCAGCAGCCGCCGUAAAAC